CAUGCUGGCUAAAUAAAUAAGUGAAAAAGAAAGGAAGGAAGGGACAAAUGAAAGGAAAAAGACUAAUUUUUUCAUUCAUCUUUUCAACUAAACCUGAGUGGGAUUUUACAAAAGGGAGUCUGCAGAGUAAUAGGCGCAAUCAUGGAACUAGAUGUACUGAGUAUUUAUUUAUCAAUUUUUUUUUGGCUGCCCUCACAGCAUGUGAUGUUCCCAAGCCAGGGGUCCAAUCAGUGCCACAGCAGUGAGGCGGGCCACUGCCGUGACAAAACUGGAUCCUUAAUCUGCAGUGCCACAAGGUUCCCAGAUUUACUGAGUGUUUAUAGUGCACUGAAUGGACUAGGCAUUUGCUUUGUGGGAUCUCACUUGAAUUUAAAUGGGACAAUACCCUGCCAGAGCACAGACCAGCAUCCAGGUUUUACAGAUGAGAAAAUCUGAGCCCAGAGAAGUUAAAAAAUUUUCUCAAGGUCACAAGGUUUAAACUUCGGGUUGAAGGGAGGUAAUACCUGGAUCAGUAUGAGACUCUCUCCCCUGACUUGUCUCCACAGUAGUGAGAAGUCUCAAGUCUCCCAGUAGGAUUUUCAGAAGAGUCACACCCACUGGAAUGCAUCUAUUCUGUGUGAUUUGGUUUUGAAAAAAUCAGCCCCCUUAGGAGUUCCCAUUGUGGUACAGCAGAAACGAAUCUGAUGGCUAUCCAGGAGGAUGCAGGUUCAAUCCCUGGUCCUGCUUGGGGAUCUGGCAUUGCUGUGGCUGUGGUGUAGGUCACAAAUGCAGCUCGGAUCCUGCAUUGCUGUGGCUAUGGUGUAGGCUGGCAGCUAUAGCCCCAAUUCAGCAUUCAGCCCCUAGCCUGGGAACCUCCAUAUGCUGUGGGUGUGGCCCUAAAAAAAAAUCAGCCCCCUUAUUUCAUAAUCACAGCUUAUAGAUACCAGAAGGACAAGGCCAUGUCUUGCUUGUCCCAUGAAAUUGUCACCGUGCCUGUCCCCAUGGGGUUACUCAAUACACACUUACUGAAUGUCUUAGAUCAGGCUCUCUGGCUUUCUGUGGCCAGUCACCCCAGCAGGCCCACUUCUCUGAGCCUUUUGAGCUCUUCCUUUCUUCUUUGUCCCAGAAUUUCUGCUUCACUUAGUAUGGGCACUUCCUGUGAGUUUCUGCAAGAGCCCCAGCCCUGUAGACCUUGGGCCUGUCUCACGGGGUCCUUACCAUAUGUUCAACCCUGUGUCAGAAGAGAGUGUUCCCAUGUUAAUAAGCUCUCAGUCGUCCCACCAUCUAUUGCCAUUGGAUUCAGCCCCAUGCAUGUGCUCCUGGCACCUGCCAGGGCAGUUAGCUGGGCCCUGCAACUCCUUCAGGGUGAAGCCCCUUUUCUGGAGGCCUAGCAUAUCCCUGGUGGAAUUUGGUGUGACUUAACCUUCAUUUUUGGUCUUGUGGCCUGGGAGAGAUGUCCUGAAGCAGUGUGUGCUAUCUUGCCAGACAAAGUCCUCUGUGUCAUCUCCAAACAAGGGGGACGAGUCUAUAAUUGAGAAGGUUGGGCCACUUCUGCAGCUCAGAGCGUCCAGGCAGGGCUGGAGCUUCAGGGUUCUCAGGUUCUCAAGUGCUUCAACCUCAAUGUCCUACCCCCCACCUGAGAAUUCCACUCCUUCCUGAUCAGGGUCCUGACCUUAGUCACAUCAGGGUGCAAAAUUAACAGUUUUGCCAAAACUCUGCCACCCUUCUAAUUAAAUCCUGGGCCUAGUCCCCAGCUUUUUUCUGCUCUGCAGCUGCAGGAGAUGAGAAGCCCCAACACACUACCAAAGGGACCCUCUGAAUUUCACACAUUGUCUUAAAUUAGUGAUUGAUCACUUCCAGGCUUUCAUUGGCUUUCUCCAAUAUGUUGAUAGCACUACGUGGAGCCAUCACAUUCAUUAGUCUUAGUAAUGACUACUUCCCCUCAAAUCUCUCAAACAUCUCAUGUCCCCGCCAGCCAGUGCUUUUCUUCGCACUAUCACCCCCAACUCACCAAGAGUGAAAAUCCUCCCAAUUUCAGGGUGUCUGGGUGUCAGGUGCCAUCAGUACUGCCCCUGCCACAAUGAUGGCUUUCUGAUUGCCAGUUCACUGACAGGUGACCCAAAAUCCUAGAUAGAACUGAUCCUGCUUCCAACAGCCUUAGAUUAGGUAUCCCGGGAAAUGGACUCCCAAGUGGAUAUCAGUUUGCAGAAAGUUUAUCAGUAGGCACUUUUGGGAACACCACCUUGGAGGGGGUAAGCAAAAAGCAGGAUUGGGUGGAGGGAGCAGUUGAGCUGGAUGCAGUUACCAGGGACUCUGGAGCUGGGAUGGCCCAUCUAGGCUGUCAUGAACAAAGCCAAGGGAGCUACACUUGCGUACCUUCCACAUUAAUCCAUUGAUGGACAUGUGUUGCCCCCAGAAAACAGGAACGGCUUUGCUUGAGAUAGCAGCCUUCACACCUGGUGGUCAUUUUGGAGAGGAAGUCAGCCAUGAACUGUCAGCGGUCUAUACUCCUGGCACAUGGAGAAAUGGGCCUGGGCAGUACACCACAACACCCACUACACUGAAUGAAUGAUUGAAUGAAUGAAUCAAUAUCCUGCUUCUCUUUCUAACUACCUUGAAAAAAAAAAAAAGGGCUUCUCUAGUCUGUGAUCUUUUCAUACCCAGCAAUGCUUGUUGCCCAGAAUUAUGCUCUACAUUUGGUACCUUCAUUUAGAAAGAACCUUCUGAAAUGCCCUUCUAAUUCAAUCUACUUAUUCCCCAGAUGAGAAAACUAAGGUCCAAAAUGUGUAAAUAACUUGCUUGAAGUCUGACCGUGAAUUUGUGAUUGAGCCAAGACAUCACAAGGGCUGUUUCAGCUUCAGAAACAGAGGUCUAAAUACAUAAGGAUUUCCUUUGACAAAUACAAGAAGUCUGAAAGCCCAGCGUUGGUUUCAGGCUCCAGUUACCUCGGACUCUGCCCCCCCAAUUCUGGCACAUGGCUUCUAUCCCCACGGUCAAGGUCUGACAUGGCUCCAGAGUUCCAUCUAUCACAUCUGAUUCUAGGCUUGAAGCAGGAGAAAUCUGGGGAAGCAAUAGGGCAGCUUCUCUAUCCAUUUUCAGCAGGCUUCUCCGAAGCCCCUUCUGACUAUACAUCCUUGGCUAGAACUUGGUCCCAGAGCCUCUCCAACUAUAAUGGAGGCUGGCGAAUGUUGUCUUUAUUCUAGAUGACAAUUUUCCCAGCAGAGAGUGGAAGGUCUACAUCUAAGUGAGAAGGAGGAAAUGGAUGUUUGGUAGGUAAGUUACAAGCUUUACCUCAUUGGCAAUAGGACUGUUAAAAAGCACCCAUUUAGGGAUUACACCUGGAUUGGUCCCCUCUUAGAUGCAGGACUAUUUUAAAAUUAUUUAACCUCUAGACUUUUUGUUUCUCCAUAUGUAAAACAGACAAUUAUCCCUAAACUCACAGAUAUAUUGUGAACUACCAUGUGGAAAGCACCUAGCACAAUGUCAACUUCAUGAACUGGCAGAAUAUCUACCUCUCCAUCACCCAAGUACUAAAUUACCUGAUUACAGCGUAAUGGCAUUACACUCCGUUGCUCUGUUUAACUGCCCCC
rnacentral:lncRNA from 1 species